AUCCUGGGCCCUCCCGGAGGCCGUAGCGGCGGCGCGGCGGCAUUGCUGGCCACCACCUCCUCCCUAGCCGCAGCCCAGCUCAACCCGCGGCCCGCCGCGCUGUCGCUGCAGUCAUGGCUGCUGACGGGGUGGACGAACGUUCGCCUCUGCUGUCAGCAUCCCAUUCGGGAAAUGUCACUCCCACAGCCCCGCCGUACUUGCAGGAAAGCAGCCCCAGAGACAUUCAAGUGUUAUAGAGCCUCCGCCUUUCAAUGAGGACUGACCCCAUGACUUGGUUUAGACUCCAGAAUAAGGCUGAUUCCACAUUAUAUUCUGGAUUCUGUGAACAGUUAAGCGGUAAACAUGGAUAUCCAAGUACCACUAUAGUACGUUGUACUGGCUAGUUUUGUGUCAACUCGACACAGCUGGAGUUAUCACAGAGAAAGGAGCUUCAGUUGAGGAAAUGCCUCCAUGAGAUCCAGCUGUAAGCUGAACUCCCACCUCCGUAUACAGCCAUCGCCAGUCCAGGAACAAGUGGUAUUCCCGUGAUCAACUGUCGUGUGUGCCAAUCUCUAAUCAACCUGGAUGGUAAACUUCACCAGCAUGUGGUUAAGUGCACAGUUUGCAAUGAAGCUACGCCAAUCAAAACCCCCCCAACAGGGAAGAAAUAUGUUAGAUGCCCUUGUAAUUGUCUACUCAUUUGUAAGGAUACAUCUCGGCGAAUAGGAUGUCCGAGACCCAACUGUCGACGCAUAAUUAACCUUGGCCCCGUAAUGCUCAUUUCUGAAGAGCAACCAGCCCAACCUGCAUUGCCGAUCCAGCCAGAAGGCACAAGGGUAGUGUGCGGGCACUGCGGGAACACAUUCCUGUGGAUGGAACUGAGGUUCAACACUCUGGCAAAAUGCCCACACUGCAAAAAAAUCUCCUCGGUAGGUAGCGCCCUUCCCCGGAGACGCUGCUGUGCGUAUGUCACCAUCGGAAUGAUAUGUAUUUUCAUUGCAGUUGGAUUAACUGUUGGCACACAAGAUUUUUCAAGGCGAUUUCAUGCAACCUAUGUGUCUUGGGCAAUUGCUUAUCUGCUAGGUUUGAUUUGCCUUAUCCGAGCUUGUUACUGGGGCGCAAUCAGAGUCAGUUAUCCAGAGCACGGCUUUGCUUAAGUCUCCUCAUGAAUCCUUGAUGCAGGCGAGAGUGUCCAGUAGUCCUUGAGAAGCUCUGCUGGACGCCUUCAAAUCAUUUAUCCUCCUGGAUUCCAUCCUGGUUUGUAUAGUAGUCUCAAGAAUUUGUGAGUCUUUUCUGAACAGACGCUCACUGAAGUACAUUAUAUGCAAGUUCAUUUUGCUGCUAGGUUUUCAGACUUGGAAAAAUAAAGCUGUGUCUCUGUUCUUUUAAAUCAUAAAGGUAUUUUUGCAUUUGUCCUCCCACGUUAUAUCUAAUAUCAGUCUUUCAUUAUGUUUAAACCAGUUGUUCCAUUACUUGUUGCUGUGGGACUAUCCCCAAGAAGUGUUUAUAAAUGUUUCUACAAUAGGGUCACAUUUAUACUUACAUUUUAAACAGAAUUGCUUGCUUUAAAAAUCUAAGCAAUAUGCAUUUUUGCUUGAACUGCUUACUGUAAUUUUAACCUAAGAGUAUAGAUACCUUAUUCAGGAAAAACAAAUUGAGUGUACUUUGAAAAACUUGACAUUCUUGUCAGAGAAUCAUUUCUAGAUAGUAUAUGCUUGUUUUUUUUGUUUUUUUUUUUUUUUGUUAUUGUUUGUAGAAAGAUACAAUAUUUUGGUAGUAAAUUAAAAUACCUAGGAUGAACAUAUAUAUAGUCCACAGUUGGAGAUGUUAGAUAAAUGUCUUUUCUCUAAGAUUACAGGACUUUUUGCCUUUCAGUCUUGUCUUUUUAUUUAGCAUUUACAAAAAUCUGGUCUGGAUUUAUGGAAUUUAAUGUUACUCUGCUGAAUGUAUUCCUUUAUAAACUGGAGGAAGUAUUUCAGACAACAUGUUUUAUAAUACUUCAUCAUCUCGUCAAAGACAUGUUGACACUGGGUUGCAGUCCUUUUCAUUCAAUCAUGGUAAACUUAUCUUCUUGACAUCUGUGUACACCCGCUUCUCUGGGAAGAGAACUUAGGACUUUUUUGCUUUAGCUGAAAGUUAGAAUUAGAGAUUCUCUUACCAUUUCUCACCUGGUCAGAUAAUGACUCGACUUCUUCAAGAGAACGGAUCAGAGAGAGAGAGUUUCAUCGUCACCUAAAACUUCGCGUGGAAUUCAUGGACUCAGCUCUUGCACUGCCCAGUUUUGCAGUUUAGAAGGAAUUCCUUGAGAGUCAGUGGUCUAAACUCUUUCACAUUGUAGAAUUAGACAAUGAGAUGCCCUGAAUACAUUAGUAGGUGAUUCCAAGGGACAAGACUAAUGUUCUAAAUUAUUUAUGUUCCUGAUUAAUAUGAAAAUGUACUUAAUGCAAAGUCGGAGUCAGCUACACCUCAAAGAGAAAAUGAUAAAUGUAUAAAUGAAGUAGCUCAGGAUUCUAUGUACCUUUGAAAAUAUGCUAAUAAAGAUUAUUAUUCAAAAA